rnacentral:rRNA from 1 species
AGAGUUUGAUCCUGGCUCAGAUUGAACGCUGGCGGCAGGCCUAACACAUGCAAGUCGAACGCGAAAGCGGGGCAACCCGCAAGUAGAGUGGCGAACGGGUGAGUAAUACAUCGGAACGUGUCCAGUAGCGGGGGAUAACCUGUCGAAAGAUAGGCUAAUACCGCAUACGACCUACGGGUGAAAGCGGGGACCGCAAGGCCUCGCACUAUUGGAGCGGCCGAUGCCGGAUUAGCUAGUUGGUGGGGUAAAAGCCUACCAAGGCAACGAUCCGUAGCUGGUCUGAGAGGACGACCAGCCACACUGGAACUGAGACACGGUCCAGACUCCUACGGGAGGCAGCAGUGGGGAAUUUUGGACAAUGGGCGCAAGCCUGAUCCAGCCAUGCCGCGUGAGUGAAGAAGGCCUUCGGGUUGUAAAGCUCUUUCGGCGGGGAAGAAACGGUACGUGCUAAUACCACGUACUAAUGACGGUACCCGCAGAAGAAGCACCGGCUAACUACGUGCCAGCAGCCGCGGUAAUACGUAGGGUGCAGGCGUUAAUCGGAAUUACUGGGCGUAAAGCGUGCGCAGGCGGUUUGUUAAGACAGGUGUGAAAUCCCCGGGCUUAACCUGGGAAUUGCGCUUGUUACUGGCAGACUGGAGUGUGGCAGAGGGGGGUGGAAUUCCAAGUGUAGCAGUGAAAUGCGUAGAUAUUUGGAGGAACACCGAUGGCGAAGGCAGCCCCCUGGGCUAACACUGACGCUCAUGCACGAAAGCGUGGGGAGCAAACAGGAUUAGAUACCCUGGUAGUCCACGCCCUAAACUAUGUCAACUGGUUGUCGGGGAAGAAAUUCCUUGGUAACGAAGCUAACGCGUGAAGUUGACCGCCUGGGGAGUACGGCCGCAAGGUUAAAACUCAAAGGAAUUGACGGGGACCCGCACAAGCGGUGGAUUAUGUGGAUUAAUUCGAUGCAACGCGAAAAACCUUACCUACCCUUGACAUGCUAGGAAGCUCGCAGAGAUGUGAGUGUGCCCGAAAGGGAACCUAGACACAGGUGCUGCAUGGCUGUCGUCAGCUCGUGUCGUGAGAUGUUGGGUUAAGUCCCGCAACGAGCGCAACCCUUGCCAUUAGUUGCUACAUUUAGUUGGGCACUCUAAUGGGACUGCCGGUGACAAACCGGAGGAAGGUGGGGAUGACGUCAAGUCCUCAUGGCCCUUAUGGGUAGGGCUUCACACGUAAUACAAUGGUCGGUACAGAGGGCUGCCAACCCGCGAGGGGGAGCAAAUCCCAGAAAGCCGAUCGUAGUCCGGAUUGUAGUCUGCAACUCGACUGCAUGAAGCCGGAAUCGCUAGUAAUCGCGGAUCAGCACGUCGCGGUGAAUACGUUCCCGGGUCUUGUACACACCGCCCGUCACACCAUGGGAGUGGGUUUCACCAGAAGUAGUUAGCCUAACCGCAAGGAGGGCGACUACCACGGUGAGAUUCAUGACUGGGGUGAAGUCGUAACAAGGUAACCGUA